AUUCCCUCAUCGGAAUUGGUUGAAGAAACAUCGAGGAAUACAGACGUCCCCUUAUUGCCUAUUAUUGCUGUCUGGAAGAUAUUUUGAAAGAUACGAAGUGAAAGUAAAUCUGAACUGCUACUUUAUGAACAUUUUUAUUAUCGAGACUUGAUCAGUUUAUCAGAAGAAUUGUGUAUGUUGGACCAUAAUCAUUGUUAUCAAGAAUUUUAAAAAGCAGCUUUGUGAUCAUGCACUAUUUUAUUCAUUUACUAGAAGGAAAUGACACAGAAUAGUUCUAACAAUUUGAUUAAAAAUGAAGAUGCAGAUAAAGACUAUUCUGUGCUUCUCUGGAGCAACUGCUUUGUUCAUGAAGACAGAUUUGGUGCAGGCAAAUUUAAUCGGCAAUCAUGAUUAUUACACCAAGGAAAAUAUUUGAAAAAUAUUAUUUGGAAAAUUUUUGGAAAAUAUUUGGAAAGCAUUCAAAGUAUGCAUAACUUAGAUUUAGCAAACAUUGACAUUUUUAUGACCACAGAUUCUUUUUAAAGACUUAUGAAUAAAUGCGAGGAAUAAGAAAUUGAAAAUUCAAACUCCGCACAGAGUCCAUCAGGAGGGAUUGUUUGGUCCUUUCAACUACUGCUGCUCUGCACACACUGACUUUCAUCAGGAACAUUUAAUCAGGUCCUUUUAACUACCACUGCUCUGCACACUGACUCACUUCACCAGGAAUCGCUCUGAAAAUAUUUUAUGAAGUCCUUUCAACUACCACUGCUCUGCACACUGACUCACUUCACCAGGAAUCGCUCUGGAAAUAUUUUAUGAAGUCCUUACAACUACUGCUGCUCUGCAAUCACACUACUUCACCAGGAAUCUUUCCAGAAACAUUUUUACCAGGUUCAUUCAACUACUGCUGCUCUGCACACUGACUCCUUCAACAGGAAUCUUUCCAGAAACAUUUCACCAGGUCGUUUCAACUACUGCUGCUCUGCACACUGACUCCUUCACCAGGGAUCGCUCUGAAAAUAUUUUAUGAAGUCCUUUCAACUACCACUGUUCUGCACACUGACUCCUUCACCAGGAAUUUUUCCAGAAAUAUUUUACCAGAUCUUCUCAAUCCAACUAUUACUGCCCUGAAGCUCUAACAUCAAUGAGUUUAAAAUACUCAUUCAAAUGAAUGACUCGCAAGUGUUUUUUUUUAAUAACUUCCUAUAAUUAUGCAUGAUUAACUUAACUCUUAUUAACUCAAUAACAUGACUAACCUCACUAACUUAAUCAGUUAUUAUAAAUACCACUUGUUGAGUUUUACUAUGAAGGUUUUACUGAGUUUGCUUGGAAGACGGGCUGAACGAUUAAUCAUGGCAAACGACAACUUGAAGCCAAGUGGUCUUCAACUCUCAAAUUUCUCAUUAGUGAGAACAAUCAUUUGAUCUACUAAUUAUGCUGUCCGUCCGUCCGUCUUUGCACCAAAGAAGAUGCCUACUGUGAUAUAUUGAGUAGUUA